AUACGUAUGGAGCGAGCGUGUCCGGAAUUUUGGGCGUAAAGGGUGCGCAGGCGGCUUACAAGUUGGAUGUGAAAUAUUGUGGCUCAACCACAAACGUGCAUCCAAAACUGCAAAGCUUGAGUUAAGGAGAGGUAAGUGGAAUUCCUGGUGUAGCGGUGGAAUGCGUAGAUAUCAGGAGGAAUACCGGUGGCGAAGGCGACUUACUGGACUUAAACUGACGCUCAGGCACGAAAGCGUGGGGAGCAAACAGGAUUAGAUACCCUGGUAGUCAAGGGCG
rnacentral:rRNA from 1 species